AAGGGUCGGGUUCACUGAACCAAGACAAUUUGAACUGUCAGUCAGUCACAUGUGUUCUGAACUUUUAUAUAGAAAUGUCAACCAUCCAUUUGAAACCGCUUAAAAUUGCUGUAUUGCGUUCAUCUUUUUUUCAAUUAUUUAGGGCUUCUUGUUAGCAUGCAUGGUUCCUUGAGGAUUAACCAGGCGUUUCUGCUUGCACCACCAGCAGGGCAAAGUUUGAGAAAUUUCUCUAGAUGUGUAACUAAGAUUAGCUCCAAACACUAAUGGUUUAUUAUCAUGGUUUUAUACACAAUUAAGUUUGUGUCCCGGAAAAGGUUGAAUUGCUAUAACUGGUAUGUUCCAUAACUUUUAAAUUAACAAUACAAAACUUAAUUAUAAAUUAUGAUGUCAACCGAGAGCCACGCAGGUUUUUCUGGGAAGAGGCGGAGCAAAGGGCCUUUUAAAAACAUCGGCAUGUUGGCAGUGUAAUGCUGAGCCCAGAUGCCCUUUUACUGAUGAACCACAGCCGCGCCCACCUCGGAUUGCCAGAAGACUGUUGGCACGCAAACCUAAAACAGGGAACCGACUGGACCAGCAGACCAAACAGCGUUGACCGAUGGAUGGACUGAUUGAGUGACGUCACCGUCGGUGUUGAUGGGAUGGCUAAUGUUCUGUAUGUGUCUCCGCAACCUCGACUGCACGCCCCCCCCCUCCCUCCCCAUCCAACAGUGGACCGCCAUCCCAGAGGUCACCCAUGUUAACCACUUCCUGUAGUGGCUGAGUGACUGAGUGAUGGAUGAGCGUGGAGGGCUCUCCCCUCGGGGGCACACUGGAAAAGGGCCCCCACUUGAAGAGACAAUUACACAGCGCUGGUGAGAGCCACAGGUAUGCAUUGUUCUGACCGGGGUCAGCCGCCAGCCAACCAGCCGAGCCGCCCUAAAUUAGGCCAACAAUGGGUGCGGGGAGAGAUAAAAUAACCAGGUGUGUGGUGGGGAAAGGUAUCGGUUGGGGGUCAUAUCCAAGUCAAAUGUUUCGGUGUGGGGCUUUUAAAAGGCCCGAGUUGAUUGUAGUGCACUUUAAUGAAAUCAGGAAAUGGAUCUGAAUCCAAAUAGAAGGAUCAAGAAACACAAUGUCAACUAAAUUUUAUUUUUAUGUUUAGA
ensembl:lncRNA